UAGGGUGUAGCUUAGUGGUAGAGUACUUGCCUAGCAUGCAUGAAGUCCUGGGUUUGAUCCGCAACACUGUUA
rnacentral:tRNA from 1 species